UUCCGGUUGAUCCCGCCGGACCCCACCGCUAUCGGGGUGGGACUAAGCCAUGCGAGUCGGCGCCCUCCAGCCGACGGGGAGGGCGCGGCGGACGGCUCCGUAACACGUAGCUAACUUACCCUCAGGACGGGAAUAACCCCGGGAAACUGGGGCUAAUUCCCGAUAGGUGAGGAGGCCUGGAAUGGUCCCUCACCGAAAGGGUGCUGGAACCGUGCUUCCGGCACCGCCUGAGGAUAGGGCUGCGGCCGAUCAGGUAGUUGGUGGGGUAACGGCCCACCAAGCCUAUAACCGGUACGGGCCGUGAGAGCGGGAGCCCGGAGAUGGGCACUGAGACAAGGGCCCAGGCCCUAUGGGGCGCAGCAGGCGCGAAACCUCCACAAUGGGCGAAAGCCUGAUGGGGUCAUUCCGAGUGCCAUCCGCUAAGGAUGGCUUUUCCCAAGUCUAAACCGCUUGGGGAAUAAGGGGAGGGCAAGUCUGGUGUCAGCCGCCGCGGUAAAACCAGC
rnacentral:rRNA from 1 species